rnacentral:rRNA from 1 species
AGGGCAAGUCUGGUGCCAGCAGCCGCGGUAAUUCCAGCUCCAAUAGCGUAUAUUAAAGUUGUUGCAGUUAAAAAGCUCGUAGUUGAAUUUCGGGGUUCUACCGUUGGUCGGGCUUUGUCUGUACUGGCGUGUAGAAUUUCUACCUUCUGGGGAACCAUUAUGUUAUUAAUUUAGCGUAGUGGGAAACCAGGACCUUUACCUUGAAAAAAUUAGAGUGUUCAAAGCAGGCUUAUGUCUGAAUACAUUAGCAUGGAAUAAUAGAAUAGGACGGUGGUCCUGUUUUGUUGGUUUCUGAAUCACCGUAAUGAUUAAUAGGGAUAGUUGGGGGCAUUAGUAUUCAAUUGUCAGUGGUGAAAUUCUUGGAUUUAUUGAAGACUAACUUCUGCGAAAGCAUUUGCCAAGGAUGUUUUCAUUAAUCAAGAACGAAAGUUAGGGGAUCGAAGACGAUCAGAUACCGUCGUAGUCUUAACCAUAAACUAUGCCGACUAGGGAUCGGACGAUGUUAAUUUUUCUUGACUCGUUCGGCGCCUUACGGGAA